GUAGCACAGAGAAGCUUGCUUCUCGGGUGACGAGUGGCGGACGGGUGAGUAAUGUCUGGGAAACUGCCUGAUGGAGGGGGAUAACUACUGGAAACGGUAGCUAAUACCGCAUAACGUCGCAAGACCAAAGAGGGGGACCUUCGGGCCUCUUGCCAUCAGAUGUGCCCAGAUGGGAUUAGCUAGUAGGUGGGGUAACGGCUCACCUAGGCGACGAUCCCUAGCUGGUCUGAGAGGAUGACCAGCCACACUGGAACUGAGACACGGUCCAGACUCCUACGGGAGGCAGCAGUGGGGAAUAUUGCACAAUGGGCGCAAGCCUGAUGCAGCCAUGCCGCGUGUAUGAAGAAGGCCUUCGGGUUGUAAAGUACUUUCAGCGGGGAGGAAGGUGUUGUGGUUAAUAACCACAGCAAUUGACGUUACCC
rnacentral:rRNA from 1 species